rnacentral:rRNA from 1 species
AUACGUAGGGAGCGAGCGUUGUCCGGAAUUACUGGGUGUAAAGGGAGCGUAGGCGGGAGUGCAAGUCAGAUGUGAAAUACAUGGGCUCAACCCAUGGGCUGCAUUUGAAACUGCAUUUCUUGAGUGAAGUAGAGGUAAGCGGAAUUCCUGGUGUAGCGGUGAAAUGCGUAGAUAUCAGGAGGAACACCGGUGGCGAAGGCGGCUUACUGGGCUUUUACUGACGCUGAGGCUCGAAAGCGUGGGGAGCAAACAGGAUUAGAUACCCUGGUAGUCCAUGCUGUAAACGAUGAUUACUAGGUGUGGGAGGUAUCGACCCCUUCCGUGCCGCAGUUAACACAAUAAGUAAUCCACCUGGGGAGUACGGCCGCAAGGUUGAAACUUAAAGGAAUUGACGGGG